ACAAGCUACCUAACCUGAACCGCCCUGAACUCAUUACAGUGGAUAAUGAAGGUGGAGAAAUCUGAUUCUACAUGCAGCAGGAGUUGGCAGAGUUGAGAUUUCCAAGUGACAUCACCUGUAUGCCUGAAAAACUGUGAAUCACAGAGAGAAGAGAGGACGCACCUGCUGAUUUUUCUUCCCCUCUGGUGAUAGAUGACUAAAUGGAACAGGUCUUGGCUCUAGGAAGUGGAUGAAGAGAGGUAGAGAGCUGUGGAGAAAGAAGAGUGAGAGUCACACAAAGAAAGGGAAGGAAGACUGAAACUGAAAGCAGCUUACAAACUAUAUAUAGGGCAGAUGUGGUGCUGGUGAAGCUUCUUAUAAUAGAGGUGGUUGUUGGCAUCAGAUUACACCUCUGCACCCCCUCUCUGUCUCUCUGUCUUGUUCUCCUUUGCCUCUCUCUUGCUCCUUCGGUCCUGGCUCACAACUCUUUAUUUACCCCCGCAGACCUCACAUUUACAGCACAAUUACCCCUGAGGACGUCAUCAGCCCGCUCUCCACUCCACAGCUGUCGGUGGUGGAGUCCAGAGUAGGGAGAUGGAUGGAUGGGAGGGGGAAGGGGAGGGAGGGAAAAGAUUUUACUUGCCAUGUUCCUCAUUCGAGAUCCCCUGCUGAACCAGUGUCAGGGUUUCAUGGAGGCUGUUUGUUUCC